CAACCCGGGAUUGCCUUAGUAACGGCGAGUGAAGCGGCAAAAGCUCAAAUUUGAAAUCUGGUACCUUCGGUGCCCGAGUUGUAAUUUGGAGAGGGCAACUUUGGGGCCGUUCCUUGUCUAUGUUCCUUGGAACAGGACGUCAUAGAGGGUGAGAAUCCCGUGUGGCGAGGAGUGCGGUUCUUUGUAAAGUGCCUUCGAAGAGUCGAGUUGUUUGGGAAUGCAGCUCUAAGUGGGUGGUAAAUUCCAUCUAAAGCUAAAUAUUGGCGAGAGACCGAUAGCGAACAAGUACAGUGAUGGAAAGAUGAAAAGAACUUUGAAAAGAGAGUGAAAAAGUACGUGAAAUUGUUGAAAGGGAAGGGCAUUUGAUCAGACAUGGUGUUUUGUGCCCUCUGCUCCUUGUGGGUAGGGGAAUCUCGCAUUUCACUGGGCCAGCAUCAGUUUUGGUGGCAGGAUAAAUCCAUAGGAAUGUAGCUUGCCUCGGUAAGUAUUAUAGCCUGUGGGAAUACUGCCAGCUGGGACUGAGGACUGCGACGUAAGUCAAGGAUGCUGGCAUAAUGGUUAUAUGCCGCCCGUCUUGAACCCGGGACCA
rnacentral:rRNA from 1 species